CCUACGGGAGGCAGCAGUGGGGAAUAUUAGGCAAUGGGCGAAAGCCUGACCUAGCAACGCCGCGUGAGGGAAUAAGGGUUUUCGGCUCGUAAACCUCUGUCCUAUGGGACGAAGGAAGUGACGGUACCAUAGGAGGAAGCCCCGGCUAACUACGUGCCAGCAGCCGCGGUAAUACGUAGGGGGCGAGCGUUGUCCGGAAUGA
rnacentral:rRNA from 1 species